GACGAACGCUGGCGGCGUGCCUAACACAUGCAAGUCGAACGGGACCGGGGGCAACUCCGGUUCAGUGGCGGACGGGUGCGUAACACGUGAGGAACAUGACUUUCGCGGGGAGUAGCCGGCCCAACGGCCGGGUAAGUACCGCGUACGACCCAACUGGAGACCUCUCCGCUGGGUGAAAGCAGCAAUGCACCGAAAGAAGUGCCUCGCGGCCUAUCAGCUAGUUGGUUGGGGUAAGUGGCUCACCAAGGCGGACGACGGGUAGCUGGUCUGAGAGGAUGGCCAGCCACAUUGGGACUGAGACAACGGCCCAGACUCCUACGGGAGGCAGCAGUGGGGAAUAUUGCGCAAUGGGCGAAAGCCUGACGCAGCGACGCCGCGUGUGGGAUGACGGCC
rnacentral:rRNA from 1 species